AAGAACUGAUGAUGCCUGAAAAGAAAAGAGCGAUGGUUUUAUGAGACUUAUGCUUCUCCUCGUAUGUGCUUUUAUCAGGCAUUCUGGUAAAAAAUGCCAAGAUGAGAUAAGGAAACUGUGGCCAAGUGCGACGGCUAAAUAAGAAUUGAGAAUGGAAAGGUUGCACGUGUCAACUCAUCAAUUCAAAUCAGUUUCAGUCUCAACGUUCGAAUCUCAUGUCAUCAUGUGGAGCCGUUUUGGGGCGAGGAUUAUGGCGAUAGCGAUCCCAGCCAACCAAACAAGAAGGCGAAGAAUAAUGCACAAGAAGAAGAUGAGCUAGUGCUGAAUCGCUCAUUCAACACGUGAACUAAUCACACAAAACCCACAUGCGCACGUAUUAAAUGCAUUAUGCAACACGAUUGUAAUGCCGAAGAAAAAUACGGAAUUCCAUUUAACUUACGUUGUAUGAAUAAUUAGCAAAUUAGUUUUAACUUAGAUAAUUUUUCUUAUGCACAUCCUCAAACUGCAAUCAAUUUCAACAUCUUAAUUAAUGCACAAACAAAGCGAUUGGAUAUGCUCAGGAGGCAAUUAGGGGAUUAUAAAUGACGCUGCAUUUUCUCGGCAUGGGCACCUUUGCUUCUAAUCUAUUUUAAUUUUCGAACAACUCCUAGCUAAAUGGUGUCGGAUUUAUUGCCUUGACUCAGAGUCGCUUAAAGCAAGCUUCCGGAAAACUGAGUUUAAUUUUUAAUGCACAGGUUGCAUCUUGCAUAUGAGCAAGGGCAUCAAAUUUGAAUCAAAAUAGAACAGUUUGGACGGAUGGAAGGGAGAGCAGAAGAGGAAGCAAGAUUGAUCCCUCACCGAGCAAAUCUAAACUGGUCACCAUUAUUCCUACACAAGUUUAAAAGUAAUUCAUAUAAUUUUGUUUAUUGCACUGUGAUUGUGAUGCUUUGGUCGGAAUAAUGUAAUGAUAGGUGUUCAUGUCACGUCCUGUGUUUGGUUCUCUCUCUGUGUAUUAGUUUAUUAAACACUUGAGCUAAGCAUAUGGCAUGGCAUUAUCUUUGAGUGGAAAUCAGAACCAGUGCAUCAGCAGCGGAGGAGUGAGAGGAUAUUUGGGUGGGUGAGAGAGCUAAUCUCGGUUCGGCACAAAUCACAUCAUCAGCAAGUCAAGUAAUGACGAUGACUUGCACACCACGGAUUAAUUCACACAGCCCUGCCUCGAAGGACGUAAUCAGGUUCAUGAUUUAUUUGACCUCAUGCUGUCCCCUCCCUGCCCAGGGUCAUCACCAUCAACGAGAAAUAAAUGCUGACUUCCACCCACAACAGCGACUUCCACAGCGUCGCGGACGUAGCUUGGAAUCGGAAAUAGCUCCAAUCUGGGAUAAUUCCAGGCACGGAAAUGAUUCAAAUGAAUUUGGUGGACGUCAAAUUACAGGGGAAAAGUUAAUUGCCCACAACAUGGCCCAUAAAUGUAAUACCAAAUCUGAAGACGUGAAAAUUAUCCGAAUGAUUUGUGACUUCUGGAGGUAAACUUUAGCCAAAAGUAACGAACCGGUAACAGCGGGUGUCGUCGUCUCCUUUAUUUUCUGCCUUUUUUCCUCAA